CUAAAAAACGAGAACAGAGAGAGAGAGAGAGACAGAGAGAAACAACAAAAAAAUCCUUGUGUUGCAAAAAAAAAACCACUUUCAAGUAUUGCUUUCAGUUUGGGGUGGAAAGUAGAGGAAAGGGGGAAGAAAAGAAAGGAGACAUGAACGAGAUGAAUUAUUUGUGAGUGUUGAUACUUUCUGUAGAGGUAUAUCUCUGUCAGCACUGCGUCUAAGGGUCCACCAGAGUGUAAACUGUAGGCGUGUACCUGUUCCUCGGAGGGUUCGGGUGUGAGAAGGCUGAUGAUGAUGGUGACGAUGACGGUGAUGGCGCAGAGGAUGAUG